rnacentral:tRNA from 1 species
GGCCUCCUGGACGGCGGUGGAGAACCCUGCCCGGUCCCAGAGCGGCCGGGCGGCGGCCGGCGGGCCGCUGCCGGUUCGCACGCCGCCGGAGGCCCC